GACGAACGCUGGCGGCGUGCUUAACACAUGCAAGUCGAGCGGCGCGGCGAACGGGUGAGUAACGCGUGAGUAACUGCCCCCCUCUCUGGGAUAACAGUUGGAAACGGCUGCUAAUACCGGAACGUGGGGGAUGACUCGCGUCCUAUCAGCUUGUUGUUGGGGUAGUGGCCUACCAAGGCGACGACGGGUCGCCGGCCUGAGAGGGGGCCCGGCCACAUUGGGCUGAGAUACGGACCAAACUCCUACGGGAGGCAGAAGUGGGGAAUAUGGCACAAGGGGGGAAACCCUGAGGCAGCAACGCCGGGUGCGGGAUGACGGCCUACGGGUUGUAAACAGCUUUCAGCCAUGACGCGGUAGUGGCAGAAGAAGCACCGGCUAACUACGUGCCAGCAGCCGCGGUAAUUC
rnacentral:rRNA from 1 species